CAAAUUUUUGCUAAUCACAAGUCACGACGUACUUCCCUUCCCAAAGUUUUGAAGUAUAAUUUACUCAAUUCCCUUCUUAACACAAACUUGGUCAUCGAACGUCUCAGAAAUCGCGAGGAGAGAGAAAGAGAAGAGCCAGAAAUCCAUAGAAAACCGUAAACGCUGAAGAAAUGUUGCAACAACAGCAGCAACAACACAGAGACAGAGGUCGUCUCCGUUGUGAAGGUACUGCCAUGGGCGCCAUCGCUCUCGAUCUUCGUCCUGGCCUUGGUAUCGGCCCUUUUACAUUAGGAAUGCCGGUUUGUGAAGCGUUUACGCAAAUAGAACAACAACCUAAUAUUUAUGAUGUGGUGCACGUCAAGUAUUUUGAUGAGGAACCCUUGAAGUUGGAUAUGGUAAUUAGCUUCCCUGAUCAUGGAUUUCACCUCCGUUUUGAUCCUUGGUCGCAGCGGUUACGCCUUAUUGAAAUUUAUGAUGUUAAAAGGCUUCAGAUGCGGUAUGCCACCUCUCUCAUUGGGGGACCGUCAACUCUUGCAACAUUUGUAGAAGUAUAUAGACUUUUUGGUCCUACAUUUCUAGGAAUUUAUGACAAAGAAAGAGGCAUUUAUAAUCUUUUUUAUCCGGGAUUAUCUUUUGCUUUCCCUAUUCCUGUGCAAUAUACCGAGUCUUGCAAUGAUCGAGCGGAAUUGCCACUUGAAUUUCCCGAUGGUACUACCCCAGUUGCUUGUCGCGUUUGCAUUUAUGAUGGUUCAAUGGGUAAAAAAGUUGGGGUUGGAUCAUUAAUGGACAAGGCCAUUGUUCCUCCUUUGCCCAUUGGUAGCUUGUACAUGGAAGAGGUGCAUGUCAAGUUGGGAGAAGAAUUAUGGUUUUCUAUUGGUGAUCAGCAUUUACCUUUUGGUGCAUCCCCACAGGAUGUUUGGACUGAAUUAGGUCGUCCUUGCGGGAUACAUCAAAAGCAGGUUGAUCAAAUGGUGAUUCACUCUGCCUCGGAUCCACGGCCCAGGACAACCCUUUGUGGAGAUUAUUUCUAUAAUUACUUUACACGUGGUUUGGACAUAUUAUUUGAUGGGCAGACACAUAAAAUCAAAAAGUUUGUUCUACACACAAAUUGUCCUGGGCACCCUGAUUUCAAUUCAUAUAUUAAAUGCAAUUUUGUCAUCCACCCAUCUGAUUUUACUGGAUCAUUUCCAGAAAAUAAAACUUCCAAAAACUGCAUUACCGCAAGCACCAAAUGGGAACAGGUGAAGGAAAUUCUUGGAGAUUGUGGUCGUGCUGCUAUACAAACUCAAGGGUCAUCAAAUAAUCCUUUUGGAUCUUCAUUUGUUUAUGGUUAUCAAAAUGUUGCUUUUGAGGUUAUGAAGAAUAACUACAUUGCCACUGUGACUCUGUUUCAUUCCUGAAAAAUGUUUCUAGAAAACGUCAAAUUGAUGGUGAAUUACUUCUCUACUAUAAAAUCUGGAUCUUGAAGAAUUUAUCAACUUCAAAAUAUGUUCAUUCUAGGUACGGAGCCACAUCUAAGCUAUCUCCUAGUAAAAUGUCGAGAAGAAAACUCAGCCAUGAAUGUACAGCUGCAUCGUCUUGUGUACUGUUCUUCUUACAUUGAGUUCUUUUAAUAGCAAUUAUGAUCAUGAAAUGUGCCUCAAAUAUUUGGUAACUCAUGUAUAUAAUUAUGCCCUCCGUCUCACCCAUUUUGCUGCAUUGGAAAAGGAAAUGUAUCAAAAUGGGUACAGAGUAGUAUUUAUUAUUGCCGUCUGAAAGUGUUUCUUUCUGGCAUGAUGAUGCUUUAUUAUCUGAUAACUGGGAUCAUGAACCAUCGACUGUCGUGAAUUUACGACUGGUUAUGUUUAGUUUCUUUUUUUUUUUUUUUUUUUUUUUUUUUUUCAGAAAUCGCUAAUGUUAUCUGUACAGAACUGAUCCUGUUAAUUGUUCCUGAUUUAACAUGUCUGAUGCCUUAUUAUUUGUUGUUAA